rnacentral:rRNA from 1 species
AUGAAGAUGAGCCGGCAAUGGAUGUACGAUGACCGAUGCUCUCCCCAGUUCGUUGAUGGCGUGCAUACUUUUCUGCUUGCGGCUGAGGCAAACAAGCAGGCGGAUGGUUUUAUGCCUUGUCCAUGUGCUGGCUGUAAGAAUGAUCGGAAUUACUCUAAGUUAAAAACCAUUCACGUCCACCUGUUUGAGUCCGGUUUCAUGCCCCACUAUAAUGUUUGGACCAAGCACGGAGAAAGAGGGGUUAUGAUAGAAGACAUGAAGGAAAUAUGCCCUAGAGGCAAUAAUAAAGUUAUUAUUUAUUUCCUUAUUUCAUGA